rnacentral:rRNA from 1 species
GGUCCCACCUGACCCCAUGCCGAACUCAGAAGUGAAACGCCGUAGCGCCGAUGGUAGUGUGGGGUCUCCCCAUGCGAGAGUAGGGAACUGCCAGGUA